GGAAUAAAAGUCGUAACAAGGGCCCCGUAGGUGAACCUGCGGGGGGAUCAUUAAACUUAUCUUAAAGUUGCGUUUGUUUUACCGCAAGCGCCAACUUUAAUAUUACAACAAAUCACCGUUGAACAUACCUGUUUAACAAAACCAAACCAUUAGAUUAACCCAAUGAAACCGAUUCAUUUUAUUUGUAUCUUUAAUUCUUUCUUUGAAAGAAAAAAUAUCAGAAACAAAAAGAAACGACUCGCAACAACGGAUAUCUUGGUUCUC
rnacentral:misc_RNA from 1 species